rnacentral:misc_RNA from 1 species
GAUGAAGAACGCAGCGAACUGCGAUAAGUAAUGUGAAUUGCAGAAUUCGGUGAAUCAUCGAGUCUUUGAACGCACAUUGCGCCCCCUGGCAUUCCGGGGGGCAUGCCUGUCCGAGCGUCAUUGCUGCCCUUCAAGCCCGGCUUGUGUGUUGGGUCGUCGUCCCCCCCGGGGGACGGGCCCGAAAGGCAGCGGCGGCACCGCGUCCGGUCCUCGAGCGUAUGGGGCUUUGUCACCCGCUCGAUUAGGGCCGGCCGGGCGCCAGCCGGCGUCUCCAACCUUCUAUUUUACCAGGUUGACCUCGGAUCAGGUAGGGAUACCCGCUGAACUUAAGCAUAUCAAUAAGCGGAGGA